UUGGGAUAUUGCAUGGAGAAAUUAGAAUGAAACCAGAGAAAGCCUGCAGAGUUAUCACUGCAUGCGCAGUACUGCACAACAUUUGCAAGCAGAGAGACAUUCCAUUGCCUGAUGUGGACAAUGAGGACCAAGAUGACCAGCCACAAAAUGCAAUUGACCCAAAUGCUCCACAAGUGGGACUGAGAUAUAGAGAUUACAUUGCAAACACUUAUUUUUGAACAAUUAGGAUUUCUAUCUUCCUAUGACAGUUGCAUCUGCAACAAACCACCUGAACUGAAGAGGAUUGAUUAGGAAUUGCUCGAGCUGAAGCCGAAUUUCUGAAAUAGAAACACAAUACAUGUUGAUUCAAGAAGAUUUAGAGACCGAUUGUUCAUCUAAUGGGGUUAAUGAUUCAACCAUCUGUGUGAAAGAAUACCGGCAAUCAUACAUGAAGUAUCACAAUCAGACAUGAAGUAUCCUACAAUUGCAAAGAAAAAAUCAGUUAUUCAUGACAGCAUGGUUCUUUCCUGAACCAGUUUUGAAAUGAACCAGUACUUAAUAUUUCAAUACAUACUGGACAAUAUAUUUUACAAUGCCAUCAUACAUUUACCAUUGUUCAAUAAAAAUUAAAUCUCAAUUAAUGAUUUGUCAAUGAAUAAAACCAAUGUCUGGAGUUCAAAUGUGAAGGAAUUAUAUCAUGAGGGUGCAGCCUAAGAGAUACAAAAAUACACAUCUGAACGACAAACAAUGAAUAUAUUAAAAAGGAAUUCACUAAAUGAGAUUUAUCACAUGUUUGACGUCGCGGGAGUGUAAUAAAGCCAUUAAAUAAAAAUGAUAAUACACUAGUGUAAUAAAGCUUUGACGUCCACGUCAUUUACAGUAUUGGAAACGUCAGUCAAAUUGACUUGUUUUUAUAGUAAAAGAAAGUAGAUUUUUUGAUGUUUCGACAGGAAAGUCUAAUAUGUGAUAAAAAGAAUAUUACAUUUGUGACUUUCCAUAUUUAAUUUAUUAAACUCGUUGAAUAAAAUUGAUAAAAUGCUUGGCAGAGCCUCGCAUAUUAUUAUUUUAUUCAACUUGUUUAAUAAAUUCAAUAUGAAAAGACACUCAUGUAAUAUCCUCUAUAUAUUGUUUCUAAACUAAGACAUUAUCAUGAACUUUAAUGUACAUAAUUGAUGACAUCCAUUUAAAUUUUGAUGAUUUUGUAAGUUUCUUUUCCAGUGGCCCAGUGCUCUCCUUUGCCUCUUGACACAAUAAGUGUGACUGAAGAGAAAAUAAACUGUUGUAUAAUAACACAAAAUUUUCACCAGGCUUUUAUUAAUAUAAGAAUCAGUUUGAGCUAAAAUUAACCAUCUUGUACAUUUUUUUUUCAAAAUCAAGCAGUUCUUUUGUUGUUCAAUGCAAG
rnacentral:lncRNA from 1 species